rnacentral:lncRNA from 1 species
AUGGCUGCAGACCAAAGCCUCAUAUCUACAUACCACCAUAUCCCGUGGAAUAAUAACAACAAUGACAACAAUGGAAGCAACAGCGGCUACUAUAUGUUGAUCUGUGUGUCAGGUGGGAAGAGGUCCAGAGUCACCCAAGUGGGUUCAGACCCGGAACCAAUUAUCCAGAAAAGAAGCUGAAGAUCAAGACUUGGAAAGAGUAGCACGUUUCUUAGUGAAGAAACAGCCAAGAAAAUUACUGCUCUCCUAGCUCAAUGAGAAGCAUUAAUUAAAGGUAAGACAUGGGAAAGAAGUAAAAUGGAGAACUUGUAAGAGUAAGUUGUGUCAUAAUUAACCUUCGUAAUUCCUCUAAAUUUUACAGCAUGACUGUCUUGUUGCAGAGGCCCUUGAAUUAUUUAAAAUAUUUCUAAAGGAAGCCUUUGAAAUCCCUAGAGAUGACUUUUUACGUUUUUAUAAAGAUUCUUUCCACUUCCAUUCAGAUUCUCUGCACAAGUUCAUAUGAUAAAACAUAAACAAUCUGUAGUCUUGGAUAAUGGGAAUGGAUUUAUGUAAACCUGGGACUAUCCUGCUUGUUUACAGUGACAUCAAUUGAGGAAUCUCCACUACAGAAAAAUAUUCCAUAUGUGUGAUUGUGGGGUCUCCAGAAUUAUGCACUCUGAAUUUUUAAUUUUAUCUUUGUUUAAUCAUUCCCAGUGAGGUAAAACAGCUCUCUGAUUAAUGUUCUUAAAUCAUGGCAAACACUGAUUCCAAUAUCUAUACAAAAUUGCGUAUGUGCGUUUGAAUGGAGGAAUAAAUAUUGUGGGGGCAAGGGGUGAUGCA